rnacentral:rRNA from 1 species
UUGAGUACUGUAGGGGAUAGCGGAAUUCCUAGUGUAGGGGUGAAAUUCGUAGAUAUUAGGAGGAACACCGGAGGCGAAAGCGGUUAUCUGGGCAGUUACUGACGCUGUUGCACGAAAGCGUGGGGAGCAAACAGGAUUAGAUACCCUGGUAGUCCACGCAGUAAACGAUGAGUGCUAGAUGUUGGGAUUCAUUUCUCAGUGUCGCAGCUAACGCAUUAAGCACUCCGCCUGGGGAGUACGGUCGCAAGAUUAAA